ACGGAUUGGGUUUGCCAAAUGCCUAAUUACCAGGCCAGGAAUGGCCAGGAAUAGUGCCAGCGGGCCACACGGGUGUCCCAGCCAGCCUCUCUUCACCCCGUGUCUUGAAUAGGACGUCUCUUGUAAUUACCGCCUCGUCGUUCAGCCCUGGACCCUUCUCUCCUUCCUUCCUCGGAGCCACACGUCACUCCGAGUCCCUGCCCGCUCCACCCUCCCCCACCCUGCCUCUCAGGGUGACGCCGCCCGUGGAGGUUUAAUGAGCGUGGGCCUGGCCCCUCCCCAAGCCUCAAAAUCGCCUCUGCUGUGGAUGGAAAGGAAGGGGGAGGAAGGAGGGAGGCAGUCAGAGUGGGGUUUGCCUCGCAGCAGCCCCAGCGCCUGCUUCUCACCUCUCACCAAGGUGCUGGGCCAUGCUACCCUCUGUGGUCAUCUGCUACCUGAUGGAUCUCGCGCUUGUUCUCUUACACUCCCCUGCCCCCUCACCCCAGUGUGCUUCCCAGGUCCACCAGCCAGCUGUGAACAGCUGGCCCAGACCUGUUGUUGUGGCUUGCAGCUUAUGUGCCAUUCCCCAGGGGCUGCUGAAAUCAGAGAUGAAUCCCACUGCAAGAGAGCUGCCCUUCCUGUGGGUGGAGGAUGGGGAAAGGGGUCCUCCAGCCGCCCCACCUCUGACACUUCUGGUCCACCACCAUCUCCGGAACCGCCAGCAGGGCUCCUUGAACUCUCCAGGAGAGGCCACCAUCGCCAGGAGGUUUGGAGGACCCUUCCUCCCCAUCCUUGGAGACGGCUUUUGGAGGAGCAGCUUGGCCAGAAGACAGGGUGCUUUUCUACCUUUGGCUCCGUGGGCAGAGUUGGUCUUUCUGUUGGGAAUGGGGAAGCAGGGAACAGCUCCCUGGGAAUCUCUUUCAGCAAAAUUAGAAGGUGAGCUGCUGGGGGUGGGCUGCCUAGACCUUCCCCACCUCCUUUCUCAUGCUUCUUUCUCUUUACCCUCUCCAACCCCUCCCAGUCCCAUUUCCCACUUCUUAGGGCCUGAUUCUCAGCUAGCUGCCACGUACUGCCAAAUGCUAGCCACUAACAGUUCACAGGGCUGUCCCUUCCUGGGGGCACUUUGGAUUUUGUUUCAAUAAAAUUGACUCUGGGGACUUGAGAAUCUUCAAAAAGCCAAUUUAAGGUAUUGCUCAGAGGGUCCAGGUGGUUGCAUGAGGUCAUACGCAGGCCUCUGGAAACAACCAAGGCAUGUACAUAAGUGGGACAAUCACAUCCCGACGUCCUUUUUGAAUAGACACAGGUUGGUGGGUGUGGAACACUGAGAAGUGUCAGCUGGACCCUGCCCAGGAAGCCGGGGGUAAAUGAGAGUGUCUGUCCUGGGUGCUCUAGGGAGACACACAUGUGAGUAGUUAGCAGUCAGGAUGGUCGGCAGCAGCUGAAUGUUAGGCACUGAGUUACCACUCCUAACCUGCGGAAGAGGAGCCCAGAGUGAAGGCCUCGUUCCUUGGAGGACCCAAGAGCUCUGGACUGUGAGAGUUACGGGCACUCCGAAUCCUAGCCCUGCCUCUCUACUUGUAAUCUCUCUGAACCAGAGUUUCCUCUCUGUAAAGGGGGAGGGUAUUGAUAGUGCUGUGGGAACCCCCAUGUUUUAUCUCCUUUCCCUUUUGAGAAGGCCUGGGGUGUGAGGAACCGGACAUUCAAAACUCUUGGCACUGGGUCUCCCAGCAACAACUUCUGCCUGAGGAAACAACACAGGCCAUGGUACCUGGGGUGUCUCAGUGGUACCUGCAUUUUUCUGAGCAGUUGAUGCGGCUCUUUUCGGUGUAAGUGUCCAGGAGGCAGAUGCUGGGAAUGUUCACAUCAGCUUCAGUCGGCUUUCUGGGUUAUGCUGCCCUGAGAGAAGCAUGUGUCUCUGCUUGCCUCUCAUGCCUAGGCGCUUCCGUCACAUUUUUCAUCUUCCAGUAACACUUCGAAAUCUCCUUCAUUUGUUUGAAUUCCCACCUCUUCACCCACAUGGCAAUUAGAGAGGUUGGUGAUUGCCAGGUGCUUAUUAAGUGGAGUCAUAAGUAGUCCUGCUUCUCUGGGCAGCUGUAAAUGCCUUAAAAGCAUGCAGAAAGCUUCUUAGUUUUGUUUUGUUUUGUUUUGUUUUUAAUUGAGAAAAACAAUAAGGGCCACUUCACUGGGUUCUAACAGGGUCUGUUGGGGAAUUCUGCAAUUCCGGCUGAGUCUAGGCUGUCUUGGUCCAAACUGGUUGCAUGAGGUCAUACGAGGCCUCUGGAAACAACCAAGGCAUGUACAUAAGUGGGACAAUCACAUCCCGACGUCCUUUUGAAUAGACACAGGUUGGUGGGUGUGGAACACUGAGAAGUGUCAGCUGGACCCUGCCCAGGAAGCCGGGGUAAAUGAGAGUGUCUGUCCUGGGUGCUCUAGGGAGACACAUGUGAGUAGUUAGCAGUCAGGAUGGUCGGCAGCAGCUGAAUGUUAGGCACUGAGUUACCACUCUAACCUGCGGAAGAGGAGCCCAGAGUGAAGGCCUCGUUCCUUGGAGGACCCAAGAGCUCUGGACUGUGAGAGUUACGGGCACUCCGAAUCCUAGCCCUGCCUCUCUACUUGUAAUCUCUCUGAACCAGAGUUUCCU
ensembl:lncRNA